AACGAACGCUGGCGGCAGGCUUAACACAUGCAAGUCGAACGCCCCGCAAGGGGAGUGGCAGACGGGUGAGUAACGCGUGGGAACGUGCCCUUCGCUUCGGAAUAGCCCCGGGAAACUGGGAGUAAUACCGAAUACGCCGUAUUGGGAAAGAUUUAUCGGCGAAGGAUCGGCCCGCGUUAGAUUAGCUAGUUGGCGGUGUAAUGGACCACCAAGGCUACGAUCUAUAGCUGGUCUGAGAGGAUGAUCAGCCACACUGGGACUGAGACACGGCCCAGACUCCUACGGGAGGCAGCAGUGGGGAAUCUUGGACAAUGGGCGCAAGCCUGAUCCAGCCAUGCCGCGUGAGUGAAGAAGGCCUUAGGGUUGUAAAACUCUUUCGCCGGAGAAGAUAAUGACGGUAUCCGGAGAAGAAGCCCCGGCUAACUUCGUGCCAGCAGCCGCCGUAAAAC
rnacentral:rRNA from 1 species